GAUGAAGACGUAGCGAAAUGCGAUAAGUAGUGUGAAUUGCAGAUUUCAGUGAAUCAUCGAAUCUUUGAACGCACAUUGCGCCCUUUGGUAUUCCUUAGGGCAUGCCUGUUCGAGCGUCAUUUAAACCUUCAAGCUUUGCUUGGUGUUGGGUGUUUGUCCCUCGGGACUCGCCUUAAAGUCAUUGGCAGCCAGUGUUUUGGUUUUGAAGCGCAGCACAAGUCGCGAUUCAAGGCUAUCCGCCCGCUUCCACAAGCCUUUUUCACUUUUGACCUCGGAUCAGGUAGGGAUACCCGCUGAACUUAAGCAUAUCAAUAAGCGGAGGA
rnacentral:misc_RNA from 1 species